rnacentral:tRNA from 1 species
UUAACUAAAGCCAAAGUAGAGGCUUUUCAUUGUUAAUGAAUUCACUGGAUAGUAAUCCUAGUUAAA